UUCAUCGUAUAGGUAGCUGCAGAUGAAUAUUCAAGUCCAAAACUGUCAUGGUUAAAAUUCAUUGCCUCAAAGGCAUGCAGUUGGAAGGAAAAAUGAAGAAUUGGUCAAGAAGACAUGAAUUGAAACAGAUAAUAAAAUUAAUAUUUUAUUUAACAUUGAUCACCUCACAAUAAAUGAUGUAGAAAAAUACAUCUUU